AACAAAUAAAAUUUAGAAAAUUCAAGGCAGGGUAAACUCGCACCUGUUCUACCCAGAAGAGUGGCUCAAGUUCACAUUCAGAAUUUAUUUGUUGAAAGAGUAUCUCCACUUUAUCACAAUCGAGCACUUCCAAUUCUUUCAGAAGUAGCCAGCUUGAACUAAACCUUCUAGAGCAAAAUCUUUUGAGUUGGUGUAAACCGGAGAGUGUGAGAGAGGUAAGGUUAGGGAAUAAGAGUAAAGGUGCUGCUUCAUCUUCAUUUUCAUUGGCAACAAUUGCCUCCACUCCACUCUCUGAUAUAUAUAGGUCCUCAAGUUGCACAAGAGCACUCGCCACAGAAACCCGAAAAAGGUUUAGCAAUUUGUUGAAUCCCCUUACAUGCAAUUUCCUUAAUUUGGAAAAUGAAUUUGUUGGAAGUUGGUCAGGCCACAAUGCUCUUAUAUUAUCCAGUCCGCAUACAUACAAGGACUCCAAGCCUGGGAGUGCAACCUGUGCAAUUGAUAAUCCCUUUGGUUAAUAAUAUAUACAUAUACAUUCCUAAUAAUUAGACACAUGUAAAUAGAAAAUAAGAGGUUAAAGGAGAAUAUAUCAGUAUAACAAAGCACAAAAUUUAAACUAGAUUAAAGAAGAUCAAGAAAGAGAAAAGAAAAGAAAAAGCCUCCAGAUUUUGAAGAUACAAUGAAACUUAAAAAAAAAAAAAAAAAACCUCCAAAUUUUCCUUUCGAAAUGAGGUAAUAAGAGGAUUUUUUUUUUAUUUUUUCUUUGCCUCUCUUUCAAAUUUGAUUAACUUCUAUGGAAAACGCAUUUUAACUAGUUAUGGAAAACGGAUUUUUUUUUUUUAAAACUUUUAUAUAAGAUACAAGUAAUACUUUAAAAAAAUUGUGAUAUCUAAAAAAUUUUUUGAAAAAUUAUUUUUAAAGAAAUAAGGUAAAUCUAUACUUUUUGUAUAAGAUGUUCUACCUUUGUAUUCAAAUUUCUGAUUUUUUUUUUUAAAGUGUAUCCAAAUGCACAAUAAACUACCUAGUUUUUAAUUGUUACAACUUUGAAUUGGAUUUUAUGGUAAACUAAUUUACAAGUUAAUGCAUGGAUUCAUCUUAGAUUCCAUCUAUAAAUUUUUUUAAUUAUCUAAUAUAAGACAUUAUAUUAAUGGGUUGAAUUAAUAAUGUAAUUAUAAUUUAUUUGGCAACUUUCUUCCUUCAAAUAUAUAAAAUGAAAAUAAAUUUUAAAAAAUAAAAAAAAUGAAAAAAUAAAAAAUAAAAAAAAGAUUUUUUUUAUAGUUUUUCUAAGAUGAUUUUGUAGAGUACUGUUAGUUUAUAGUUUUCACUUUAUUUAUUGAGGUAUGUUCUUUUUUGAAACUCUUGUUUAGAUUUUAUUGAGAAUAUAAAUUUUAAGAAAAAAAAUGAAAUUUAAAUAAAAUAAGAAUAAAGAAAGGCAAAAGGUGGAUGAAUUUUUUUACGGCAAAAGUUUGAUAAUUUGGCACUAUCAUGUAAUGGGUGAAAUUUUUAAAUACUCAACAAAGGCUAGUGAAAUUUAAAUUAAAACCUUGACAUGUACCUUUUAGACCAAAAUCUUUGGAGUUGGUGUAAAGUUUUGAGUAUGAGAGAGGUUAGUCUAGGGAAUAUUAUUGCACAUUAGUUCAAAUAAAACAUCAACAUUUUUUUUUGUUAAAUUCUAAAUGAACACCACUAUAAAUUAAUGCGAUUUUGUAUGCUCAAUUAAAUAAACUCGUUCUUAAGGCAUCACAUGAAGUAUUUAAGUCUAAUUAAUAUUAAUUAAAAAUGAUUAUAGUAAAAAAAAUCCAAAGUAAUUUUUUUUUAUCAUAAGUCAAGUAGGAUAGUUUUAUAAAUAAUUGGUUCUAGUUUCUAGUAUUAUUGUAGACAAUCGCUAUGUUUGUUGCACCUCCAAAAAAUCUACUACUUGUAAUUAAUUGUAUAUUAUUCUCCAUAUUCACAUCAGUUUAUGUAGUAUGAUUAAUUUAGCAACAAAAUAUAAGUUUACUUGAAAUGGCUUUAAAUUCCUAUGAUAUUAAAGUUUAAGAUUAAAACAAUGUAACAUUAGCCAAAAAGAUUAAGAUCUAUAAUGUAACAUAUAAAAUUUAGAAAAUUCAAGGAAGGGUAAACUCGCACCUGUUCUACCCAGAAGAGUGGCUCAAGUUCACAUUCAGAAUUUAUUUGUUGAAAGAGUAUCUCCACUUUAUCACAAUAGAGCACUUCCAAUUCUUUCAGAAGUGGCCAGCUUGAACUAAACCUUCUAGAGCAAAAUCUUUUGAGUUGGUGUAAACCGGAGAGUGUGAGAGAGGUAAGGUUAGGGAAUAAGAGUAAAGGUGCUGCCUCAUCUUCAUUUUCAUUGGCAACAAUUGCCUCCACUCCACUCUGAAAUAUAUUUAGGUUCUCAAGUUGCACAAGAGCACUCGCCACAGAAACCGGAAAAAGGUUUAGCAAUUUGUUGCAUCCCCUUACUUGCAAUUCCCUUAAUUUGGAAAAUGAAUUUGCUGGAAGUUGGUCAGGCCACAAUGCUCUUAUAUUAUCUAGUCCGCAUACAGAAAAGGACUCCAAGCCUGGGAGUGCAACCUGUGCAAUUGAUGAUCCCUUUAGUUAAUAAUAUAUACAUAUACAUUCCUAAUAAUUAGCACAUGUAAAUAGAAAAUAAGAGGUUAAAGGAGAAUAUAUCAGUAUAACAAAGCACAAAAUUUAAACUAGAUUCAAGAAGAUCAAGAAAGAGAAAAGAAAAGAAAAAGCCUCCAGAUUUUAAAGAUACAAUGAAACUUAAAAAAAAAAAAAAAAAACCUCCAAAUUUUCCUUUCGAAAUGAGGUAAUAAGAGGAUUUUUUUUUUUUUCUUUUUUCUUUGCCUCUCUUUCAAAUUUGAUUAACUUCUAUGGAAAACGUAUUUUAACUAGUUAUGGAAAACGGAUUUUUUUUUUAAACUUUUAUAUAAGAUACAAGUAAUACUUUUAAAAAAUUGUGAUAUCUAAAAAAGUUUUUGAAAAAUUAUUUUUAAAGAAAUAAGGUAAAUCUAUACUUUUUGUAUAAGAUCUUCUACCUUUAUAUACAAAUUUCUGAUUUUUUUUUUUAAAGUGUAUCCAAAUGGACACUAAACUAUCUAGUUUUUAAUUGUUACAACUUUGAAUUGGAUUUUAUGGUAAACUAAUUUACAAGUUAAUGCAUGGAUUCAUCUUAGAUUCCAUCUAUAAAUUUUUUUAAUUAUCUAAUAUAAGACAUUAUAUUAAUGGGUUGAAUUAAUAAUGUAAUUAUAAUUUAUUUGGCAACUUUCUUCCUUCAAAUAUAUAAAAUGAAAAUAAAUUUUAAAAAAUAAAAAAGAAUGAAAAAAAUAAAAAAUAAAAAAAGCUUUUUUUUAUAGUUUUUCUAAGAUGAUUUUGUAGAGUACUGUUAGUUUAUAGUUUUAACUUUAUUUCAUUUUACUUUUAACUUUAUUUAUUGAGGUAUGUUCUUUUUUGAAACUCUUGUUUAGAUUUUAUAGAGAAUAUAAAUUUUAAGAAAAAAAAAGGAAAUUUAAAUAAAAUAAGAAUAAAGAAAGGCAAAAGGUGGAUGAAUUUUUUUAAGGCAAAAGUUUGAUAAUUUGGCACUAUCAUGUAAUGGGUGAAAUUUUUAAAUACUCAACAAAGGCUAGUGAAAUUUAAAUUAAAAGCUUGACAUGUACCUUUUCGACCAAAAUCUUUGGAGUUGGUGUAAAGUUUUGAGUAUGAGAGAGGUUAGUCUAGGGAAUAUUAUUGCACAUUUGUUCAAAUAAAACAUCAACAUUUUUUUUUGUUAAAUUCUAAAUGAACACCACUAUAAAUUAAUGCGAUUUUGUAUGCUCAAUUAAAUAAACUCAUUCUUAAGGCAUCACAUGAAGUGUUUAAGUCUAAUUAAUAUUAAUUAAAAAUGAUUAUAUUAAAAAAAAUCCAAAGUAAUUUAUUUUUAUCAUAAGUCAAGUAGGAUAGUUUUAUAAAUAAUUGGUUCUAGUUUCUAGUAUUAUUGUACACAAUCGCUAUGUUUGUUGCACCUCCAAAAAUCUACUACUUGUAAUUAAUUGUAUAUUAUUCUCCAUAUUCACAUCAGUUUAUGUAGUAUGAUUAAUUUAGCAACAAAAUAUAAGUUUACUUGAAAUCGCUUUAAAUUCCUAUGAUAUUAAAGUUUAAGAUUAAAACAAUUUAACAUUAGCCAAAAAGAUUAAGAUCUAUAAUGUAACAUAUAAAAUUUAGAAAAUUCAAGGAAGGGUAAACUCGCACCUGUUCUACCCAGAAGAGUGGCUCAAGUUCACAUUCAGAAUUUAUUUGUUGAAAGAGUAUCUCCACUUUAUCACAAUCGAGCACUUCCAAUUCUUUCAGAAGUGGCCAACUUGAACUAAACUUUCUAGAGCAAAAUCUUUUGAGUUGGUGUAAACCGGAGAGUGUGAGAGAGGUAAGGUUAGGGAAUAAAAGUAAAAGUGCUGCUUCAUCUUCAUUUUCAUUGUGAACAAUUGCCUCCACUCCACUAUAAAAUAUAUUUAGGUUCUCAAGUUGCACAAGAGCACUCGCCACAGAAACCGGAAAAAGGUUUAGCAAUUUGUUGCAUCCCCUUACUUGCAAUUUCCUUAAUUUGGAAAAUGAAUUUGCUGGAAGUUGGUCAGGCCACAAUGCUCUUAUAUUAUCUAGUCCGCAUACAGACACGGACUCCAAGCCUGGGAGUGCAACCUGUGCAAUUGAUGAUCCCUUUAGUUAAUAAUAUAUACAUAUACAUUCCUAAUAAUUAGACACAUGUAAAUAGAAAAUAAGAGGUUAAAGGAGAAUAUAUCAGUAUAACAAAGCACAAAAUUUAAACUAGAUUGAAGAAGAUCAAGAAAGAGAAAAGAAAAGAAAAAGCCUCCAGAUUUUGAAGAUACAAUGAAACUUAAAAAAAAAAAAAAAAAACCUCCAAAUUUUCCUUUUGAAAUGAGGUAAUAAGAGGAUUUUUCUUUGCCUCUCUUUCAAAUUUGAUUAACUUCUAUGGAAAACGUAUUUUAACUAGUUAUGGAAAACGGAUUUUUUUUUUUUAAACUUUUAUAUAAGAUACAAGUAAUACUUUAAAAAAAUUGUGAUAUCUAAAAAAUUUUUUGAAAAAUUAUUUUUAAAGAAAUAAGGUAAAUCUAUACUUUUUGUAUAAGAUGUUCUACCUUUAUAUACAAAUUUCUGAUUUUUUUUUUUUAAAGUGUAUCCAAAUGGACACUAAACUAUCUAGUUUUUAAUUGUUACAACUUUGAAUUGGAUUUUAUGGUAAACUAAUUUACAAGUUAAUGCAUGGAUUCAUCUUAGAUUCCAUCUAUAAAUUUUUUUAAUUAUCUAAUAUAAGACAUUAUAUUAAUGGGUUGAAUUAAUAAUGUAAUUAUAAUUUAUUUGGCAACUUUCUUCCUUCAAAUAUAUAAAAUGAAAAUAAAUUUUAAAAAAUAAAAAAAUGAAAAAAAUAAAAAAUAAAAAAAGAUUUUUUUUUAUAGGUUUUCUAAGAUGAUUUUGUUGAGUACUGUUAGUUUAUUGUUUUAACUUUAUUUCAUUUUACUUUUAACUUUAUUUAUUGAGGUAUGUUCUUUUUUGAAACUCUUGUUUAGAUUUUAUAGAGAAUAUAAAUUUUAAGAAAACAAAUGAAAUUUAAAUAAAAUAAGAAUAAAGAAAGGCAAAAGGUGGAUGAAUUUUUUUAAGGCAAAAGUUUGAUAAUUUGGCACUAUCAUGUAAUGGGUGAAAUUUUUAAAUACUCAACAAAGGCUAGUGAAAUUUAAAUUAAAAGCUUGACAUGUACCUUUUCGACCAAAAUCUUUGGAGUUGGUGUAAAGUUUUGAGUAUGAGAGAGGUUAGUCUAGGGAAUAUUAUUGCACAUUAGUUCAAAUAAAACAUCAACAUCUUUUUUUGUUAAAUUCUAAAUGAACACCACUAUAAAUUAAUGCGAUUUUGUAUGCUCAAUUAAAUAAACUCGUUCUUAAGGCAUCACAUGAAGUGUUUAAGUCUAAUUAAUAUUAAUUAAAAAUGAUUAUAUUAAAAAAAAUCCAAAGUAAUUUUUUUUUAUCAUAAGUCAAGUAGGAUAGUUUUAUAAAUAAUUGGUUCUAGUUUCUAGUAUUAUUGUACACAAUCCCUAUGUUUGUUGCACCUCCAAAAAAUCUACUACUUGUAAUUAAUUGUAUAUUAUUCUCCAUAUUCACAUCAGUUUAUGUAGUAUGAUUAAUUUAGUAACAAAAUAUAAAUUUACUUGAAAUCGCUUUAAAUUCCUAUGAUAUUAAAGUUUAAGAUUAAAACAAUGUAACAUUAGCCAAAAAGAUUAAGAUCUAUAAUGUAACAUAUAAAAUUUAGAAAAUUCAAGGAAGGGUAAACUCGCACCUGUUCUACCCAGAAGAGUGGCUCAAGUUCACAUUCAUAAUUUAUUUGUUGAAAGAGUAUCUCCACUUUAUCACAAUAGAGCACUUCCAAUUCUUUCAAAAGUGGCCAGCUUGAACUAAACCUUCUAGAGCAAAAUCUUUUGAGUUGGUGUAAACCGGCGAGUUCGAGAGAGGUAAGGUUAGGGAAUAAGAGUAAAGGUGCUGCUUCAUCUUCAUUUUCAUUGUGAACAACUGCCUCCACUCCACUCUGCAAUAGAUUUAGGUCCUCAAGUUGCACAGGAGCACUCGCCACAGAAACCGGAAAAAGGUUUAGCAAUUUUUUGCAUCCCUUUACUUGCAAUUUCCUUAAUUUGGAAAAUGAAUUUGCUAGAAGUUGGUCAGGCCACAAUGCUCUUAUAUUAUCUAUGAUAACCACAACAUUCAAACCACCGAGAUUUCCUUGGCUUCUCACUUAUCUUUUCCACCAGAUAAGUGUUUAUCCACUUUAAGAGAUAACUCUUGACUAUUUUUAAAUUUCUGUUAUUGUGUAUUUCAAAUCUCCUUCUGUAAUUGUAUAUAAAUGAGAAUAGCCACCCGGUUUUUGGCAUUGAAGCCAAUACCAUUUUACAGAUUUCUACAGAGUCUUACAUGGUAUCAGAGCAAUUGGCAUACGCCUAAUUUCAAUCGAUCCUUUCCUUCUCAACUAUGGCCUUCUCUUCUUCCGCUUCCUCCAAUGUUAUCUUUGCUCCUCCAAACAUUGGUCAUCUGGUGUCGAUCAAGCUGAGUGACACAAACUAUCUUAUAUGGUCAUCUCAGAUUGUGCCAGUACUGAAAAGUCAUGACUUGAUGGGCUUCAUGGAUGGUUCUGAGCCGUGUCCAUCAAAAUCUCUUGAUGGUUCUCUUAAUCCAGCAUAUAUUCUCUGGAAUAAGAAAGAUCAGUGUGUGUUAAGUUGGAUCAAUGCCACUUUGUCUGACAAGGUGCUAGCUUCUGUUUAUGGCAUCACAUCUGCUCGAGAGGUGUGGAGUUCUCUGGCAAACAAGUUUGCCUCUCAAUCCAGAACCCGUGUACACCACCUAAAGCGAAAGUUGCAGACUCUUCAUCAAGGGUCAAUGAAGUGCACUGAUUUUCUUGAAAAAGCGAAGUUGGUGUCUGAUGAAUUAGCUGCAGUUGGUAAGCCACUUGAGGAUGAUGACUUAAUGUCUUAUAUUGUGAGUGGACUCAACCCAUCCUUUAAUCCCUUUAUAACCUCUCUGUCCUUUGCCACUAGAGACAAAAAUGUUUCUUUUGAAGACUUUCAAGCCGAGCUCUUGUCAUAUGAACUGUUAUUGGAAAACUAGAAUAUUGCUAUACCACCUGAGACAAAUAAUUUUGCUUUCUUCACUCCCAAAUCUAACCAACAACAGUACAAUCGCAAACCCAAAAACCCAAGUAAACCAUAUUCACGUCCUUCAUUUUCACAAAAUCCUCGUCCUCGAUAUUCACCACAACCCUCUGGUUUACCUUCCUCACCUCAGCCAAAUCAGAAGCAGCACUCAUUUUCCACUCCUAAGUCACCUUGUCAAAUCUGUGGAAAGCUAAGUCAUAAGGCAUUAGAUUGCUUUCAUAGAAUGGAUUAUGCAUAUCAGGGUCGUCAUCCACCAACCCAGUUAGCUGCUAUGGUGGCACAUAGCAAUGCUGAGCAAGAGGAAGAGACAUGGUUUGCUGACAGUGGAGCUAAUCAGCACAUUACUGCCAAUCUGGAGCAUCUUACUCUGCAACAACCAUACACAGGACAAGAAAAUGUAGCUAUUGGUAAUGGCCAAGGUUUAAGUAUUGCACAUACUGGUACUACUAUUUUUCAUACUCCUGAAGCUAAAUUAAACCUCAAACGUGUCCUCCAUUGUCCUCAAGCUUCUGCCAAUUUGCUUUCCAUAAAUCAAUUCUGUCUUGAUAAUAAUUGCCUCUUUAUUCUAACUGGUACUCAUUAUUUUGUCAAGGACAUACAAACGGGGGCGACACUACUGGAAGGCAGGAGUGAAGGGGGUCUCUAUCCAAUCCAGUUGCGGUCAAUGUCUAUCAAUAAAUCACAUGCUUUGUCAGCCGUUGUAGGAAUUAAAGCAUCAGUUUCAGUUUGGCAUUCUAGAUUAGGACAUGCAUCUCUUCCCAUUGUGUCUCAGUUAUUAAAUAAACACUCCUUACCUGUUGAAGGAUCAGUGAAUAAAAUGCAUUUUUGUGAACCUUGCCAACUUGGCAAAGGUAAGCAACUUCCUUUCAAACCUUCUACUCGUGUUUCUUCCUUUCCUUUGCAAUUAAUUCAUACUGAUGUAUGGUCUUGUUCUACCAAAUCUCUCAGUGGAUGUAAGUAUUAUGUUAUAUUCAUUGAUGAUUUUUCACGAUUCUCAUGGCUUUAUCCUCUCCAAAAUAAAUCUGAUGUAUAUGCUUGCUUUGUUAAAUUCAAAACACUAGUUGAAAACCAAUUUUCUUGCAAAAUUAAGCAAUUACAAUCGGAUGGAGGUGGAGAAUACAUGUCCAACCAAUUUCAAUUGUUUCUUUCCUCUAAUGGAAUCCAACAUCGCCGCACUUGUCCUCAUACACCCCAACAAAAUGGGGUUGCUGAGCGUAAACACCGUCAUGUGGUGGAAAUGGGACUGUCUCUGUUAGCUCAGUCACUUUUGCCCACUAAAUUCUGGGUUGAUGCCUUUUUAACAUCCAUUUUUCUCAUCAAUAGACUACCAACAUCUACUCUUGAUAACCAAACACCAUAUCUUAAAUUAUUUGGCAAACAUCCUGAUUAUACCUCCUUGCGCACCUUUGGUUGUGCCUGUUUUCCAUUGUUACGGACCAUAUGCAACUCACAAAUUAAUGUUCAGAUCCAAACGUUGCAUAUUUCUAGGUUAUAGUUCCCAUCAAAAUGGAUAUAGAUGCUUGGAUCCUGUCACUCAAAAAGUUCUAAUCUCACGACAUGUUGUGUUUAAUGAGAAUACAUUUCCUGCUAAGGAUGGAUUGCAGUCUUCUGAACUUCUUCCAGUGGUCUCCUCUCAAGGUACGCCUUUACCUUCUCCUUCAUUUUCUUUAUCUACUUCUCAUUUACAGCAUUCCUCUCCAAUCAUUUCAGAUUCACCUGAUUCUCCUCUAGAAUCUUUACCUAUCCCCACUUCUCCUCAUAUCUCCACUCUACCUUCUCCCAUACCUAGUCCAGCUCCUACCCUUUCUAUACCUGAAUUUUCCUCUUCUUCCAAUCACUCUCAUCACCCCAUGACAACUCGCUCCCAAACAGGCAACCUCAAACCUCGCACAUUUUCAGAUUUUAAACUCUAUUCCACCCACUAUCCUCUCCAAGCAUUAUCCAGUACUGUGACUCCCCUUGCACCAACCUCCUACCGACAAGCUGCUUUAUUACCUGACUGGUGUGUUGCUAUGAGAGAGGAAUAUGAUGCUUUAUUGGCUAAUGAGACAUGGAAGCUAUGUCCUAGACCUGUUGAUCAUAAUGUGGUGGGAAAUAAGUGGGUGUAUAAAGUUAAACAAACAUCCACAGGUGAGGUUGACAGAUUCAAAGCAAGAUUAGUGGCUUUGGGAUUUGCUCAAGAAGAAGGUAUUGACUUUACUGAGACUUUUAGUCCAGUAAUUAAGCCUUCUACUGUACGGGUGCUUCUUACACUUUCUGUUCAAUUUGAUUGGGAAAUCAGACAGCUUGAUGUAUCUAACGCUUUUCUUCAUGGGAUCUUGCUAGAGGAUGUAUAUAUGGAGCAACCUAAGGGGUUUGUUAAUUCAGAUUUUCCAGAUUAUGUUUGCAAACUGAACAAGUCACUUUAUGGCCUCAAACAAGCACCUCGUGCUUGGUUUAUGCGUCUAUCUCAAACUCUACUUGAAUUCGGUUUCCUAUCCUCACCAGUGGAUGCCUCCUUAUUUGUCUAUCAUAAGGGCCAUAUUCAUCUAUUUAUCCUCAUCUAUGUAGAUGAUAUCCUUGUUACAGGUACAGAUCCUUCUCUCAUUCAGUCUCUAAUCCAAAAGCUACAAACCGAGUUCAAGAUGAAAGACCUUGGUCCUUUGGGCUAUUUUCUCGGCAUCCAAGCAAGUCGUGACUCUUCUGGCCUACAUCUUCGACAAUCCAAGUACAUUGGGGAUCUUCUUCAUCGUACCAAGAUGGCUGGGGCCAAACCUGCUUCCUCUCCUUGUACCACAGGUCUUAAAUUAUCCACUCAUGUUGGUGAGCCACUCACAGCUUCUCAAAUUACAGAAUAUCGACAAACUGUGGGAGCUCUUCAAUAUUGCACCUUGACUAGACCUGAUAUAGCAUUUUCUGUCAACCAACUAUGUCAACAUAUGCACUGUCCUAAUUCUGUUCAUUGGACAGCAGCAAAACGUGUCUUACGUUACUUAAAAGGCACCAUUGAUCUGGGAUUAUGGUACACUAAGGGCGAGCAAACUCUUCAAGCCUUUUGUGAUUCAGAUUGGGCUGGUAAUCCCGAUGAUCGAAGAUCAACUACUGGGUAUGGCGUUUUCUUUGGCUCUUGCUUAAUCUCAUGGACUGCCAAGAAACAAUCUGUGGUAGCUCGUUCUAGCACUGAAGCCGAAUAUAGGGCAUUAGCUAUUACUACUGCUGAGCUGUAUUGGAUUCGUAUGCUCCUCAAAGAACUUCAUAUUUCUUUGCCCACAGCUCCUACUAUUUGGUGUGAUAACAGUGGCGCUCUUGCUCUUGCUUCUAAUCCUGUGUUUCAUGCCCGCACCAAACAUAUUGAAGUUGAUUUUCACUUCAUCCGCGAGAAAGUUGCUAAUCGAGAUAUUUCCCUUCAGUUCAUCGGUUCUUAUGAUCAGCCUGCUGAUAUCUUUACAAAGGGACUAAGUUUAGCUCGGUUUUGUUUGCUUCGUGACAAGCUAAUGGUGGUUUCUCUCCCCAUUAGCUUGAGGGGGGAUGAUAACCACAACAUUCAAACCACCGAGAUUUCCUUGGCUUCUCACUUAUCUUAUCCACCAGAUAAGUGUUUAUCCACUUUAAGAGAUAACUCUUGACUAUUUUUAAAUUUCUGUUAUUGUGUAUUUCAAAUCUCCUUCUGUAAUUGUAUAUAAAUGAGAAUAGCCACCCGGUUUUUGGCAUUGAAGCCAAUACCAUUUUACAGAUUUCUACAGAGUCUUACAAUCUAGUCCGCCUACAGAAAAGGACUCCAAGCCUGGGAGUGCAACCUGUGCAAUUGAUGAUCCCUUUAGUUAAUAAUAUAUACAUAUACAUUCCUAAUAAUUAGACACAUGUAAAUAGAAAAUAAGAGGUUAAAGGAGAAUAUAUCAGUAUAACAAAGCACAAAAUUUAAACUAGAUUCAAGAAGAUCAAGAAAGAGAAAAUAAAAGAAAAAGCCUCCAGAUUUUGAAGAUACAAUGAAACUUAAAAAAAAAAAAAAAAAACCUCCAGAUUUUCCUUUCGAAAUGAGGUAAUAAGAGGAUUUUCUUUUUCUUUUUUCUUUGCCUCUUUUUCAAAUUUGAUUAACUUCUAUGGAAAACGUAUUUUAACUAGUUAUGGAAAACGGAUUUUUUUAAAAAAACUUUUAUAUAAGAUACAAGUAAUACUUUAAAAAAGUUGUGAUAUCUAAAAAAUUUUUGUAAAAAUUAUUUUUAAAGAAAUAAGGUAAAUCUAUACUUUUUGUAUAAGAUGUUCUACCUUUAUAUACAAAUUUUUGAUUUUUUUUUUUUAAGUGUAUCCAAAUGGACACUAAACUAUCUAGUUUUUAAUUGUUACAACUUUGAAUUGGAUUUUAUGGUAAACUAAUUUACAAGUUAAUGCAUGGAUUCAUCUUAGAUUCCAUCUAUAAAUUUUUUUAAUUAUCUAAUAUAAGACAUUAUAUUAAUGGGUUGAAUUAAUAAUGAAAUUAUAAUUUAUUUGGCAACUUUCUUCCUUCAAAUAUAUAAAAUGAAAAUAAAUUUUAAAAAAUAAAAAAAAUGAAAAAAAUAAAAAAUAAAAAAAGAUUUUUUUUAUAGUUUUUCUAAGAUGAUUUUGUAGAGUACUGUUAGUUUAUAGUUUUAACUUUAUUUCAUUUUACUUUUAACUUUAUUUAUUGAGGUAUGUUCUUUUUUGAAACUCUUGUUUAGAUUUUAUAGAGAAUAUAAAUUUUAAGAAAAAAAAUGAAAUUUAAAUAAAAUAAGAAUAAAGAAAGGCAAAAGGUGGAUGAAUUUUUUUAAGGCAAAAGUUUGAUAAUUUGGCACUAUCAUGUAAUGGGUGAAAUUUUUAAAUACUCAACAAAGGCUAGUGAAAUUUAAAUUAAAAGCUUGACAUGUACCUUUUCGACCAAAAUCUUUGGAGUUGGUGUAAAGUUUUGAGUAUGAGAGAGGUUAGUCUAGGGAAUAUUAUUGCACAUUAGUUCAAAUAAAACAUCAACAUCUUUUUUUGUUAAAUUCUAAAUGAACACCACUAUAAAUUAAUGCGAUUUUGUAUGCUCAAUUAAAUAAACUCGUUCUUAAGGCAUCACAUGAAGUGUUUAAGUCUAAUUAAUAUUAAUUAAAAAUGAUUAUAUUAAAAAAAAUCAAAAGUAAUUUUUUUUUAUCAUAAGUCAAGUAGGAUAGUUUUAUAAAUAAUUGGUUCUAGUUUCUAGUAUUAUUGUAGACAAUCGCUAUGUUUGUUGCACCUCCAAAAAAUCUACUACUUGUAAUUAAUUGUAUAUUAUUCUCCAUAUUCACAUCAGUUUAUGUAGUAUGAUUAAUUUAGCAACAAAAUAUAAGUUUACUUGAAAUCGCUUUAAAUUCCUAUGAUAUUAAAGUUUAAGAUUAAAACAAUGUAACAUUAGCCAAAAAGAUUAAGAUCUAUAAUGUAACAUAUAAAAUUUAGAAAAUUCAAGGAAGGGUAAACUCGCACCUGUUCUACCCAGAAGAGUGGCUCAAGUUCACAUUCAGAAUUUAUUUCUUGAAAGAGUAUCUCCACUUUAUCACAAUCGAGCACUUUCAAUUCUUUCAGAAGUGGCCAGCUUGAACUAAACCUUUUUGAGCAAAAUCUUUUGAGUUGGUGUAAACCGGAGAGUGUGAGAGAGGUAAGGUUAGGGAAUAAGAGUAAAGGUGCUGCUUCAUCUUCAUUUUCAUUGGCAACAAUUGCCUCCACUCCACUCUUCGAUAUAUAUAGGUCCUCAAGUUGCACAAGGGCACUCGCCACAGAAACCAGAAAAAGGUUUAGCAAUUUGUUGCAUCCCCUUACUUGCAAUUUCCUUAAUUUGGAAAAUGAAUUUGCUGGAAGUUGGUCAGACCACAAUGCUCUUAUAUUAUCU
rnacentral:lncRNA from 1 species